GACAGAGGAGGCAAGCGUUAUACGGAAUUACUGGGCGUAAAGCGUCCGUAGGUGGUCUGACAAGUCUGGGGUUAAAGCCCGGAGCCUAACUCCGGAUCAGCCCUGGAAACUGCCAGACUAGAGUAAGGUACGGGUUGCGGGAAUUCCCGGUGUAGAGGUGAAAUGCGUAGAUAUCGGGAAGAACACCAGUGGCGAAAGCGCGCAACUGGGCCAUUACUGACAAUGAGGGACGAAAGCUAGGGGAGCGAAUGGG
rnacentral:rRNA from 1 species